rnacentral:rRNA from 1 species
CCUACGGGUGGCAGCAGUGGGGAAUAUUGCACAAUGGGGGGAACCCUGAUGCAGCGACGCCGCGUGAAGGAAGAAGGAUUUCGGUAUGUAAACUUCUAUCAGCAGGGAAGAAAAUGACGGUACCCGACUAAGAAGCCCCGGCUAACUACGCGACAGCACCAGCGGGAAUAUGUAGGGGGCGAGCGUUAUCCGGAUUUACCGGGUGUAAAGGGAGCGUAGGCGGCAGUGCAAGACAGAAGUGAAAUCCCUAGGCUCAACCAUGGGACUGCUGUUGAAACUGUACAGCUCGAUUGCAGGAGAGGUAAGUGGAAUUCCUGGUGUAGCGGUGAAAUGCGUAGAUAUUAGGAAGAACACCAGUGGCGAAGGCGGCUUACUGGACUGUAAAUGACGCUGAGGCUCGAAAGCGUGGGGAGCAAACAGGAUUAGAUACCCUAGUAGUC